rnacentral:rRNA from 1 species
GCUGGCGGCGUGCUUAACACAUGCAAGUCGAACGAUGAAGCCCUUCGGGGUGGAUUAGUGGCGAACGGGUGAGUAACACGUGGGCAAUCUGCCCUGCACUCUGGGACAAGCCCUGGAAACGGGGUCUAAUACCGGAUAUCACUUCCAUUAGCAUGGGUGGGGGUUGAAAGCUCCGGCGGUGCAGGAUGAGCCCGCGGCCUAUCAGCUUGUUGGUGAGGUAAUGGCUCACCAAGGCGACGACGGGUAGCCCGCCUGAGAGGGCGACCGGCCACACUGGGACUGAGACACGGCCCAGACUCCUAUGGGUGGCAGCAGUGGGGAAUAUUGCACAAUGGGCGAAAGCCUGAUGCAGCGACGCCGCGUGAGGGAUGACGGCCUUCUGGUUGUAAACCUCUUUCAGCAGGGAAGAAGCGCAAGUGACGGUACCUGCAGAAGAAGCGCCGGCUAACUACGUGCCAGCAGCCGCGGUAAUACGUAGGGCGCAAGCGUUGUGCGGAAUUAUUGGGCGUAAAGAGCUCGUAGGCCGCUUGUCACGUCGGAUGUGAAAGCCCGGGGCUUAACCCCGGGUCUGCAUUCGAUACGGGCAGGCUAGAGUUCGGUAGGGGAGAUCGGAAUUCCUCGUGUAGCGGUGAAAUCCGCAGAUAUCACCCGGAACUCCGGUGGCGAAGGCGGAUCUCUGGGCCGAUACUGACGCUGAGGAGCGAAAGCGUGGGGAGCGAACAGGAUUAGAUACCCUGGUAGUCCACGCCGUAAACGUUGGGAACUAGGUGUGGGUGACAUUCCACGUUGUCCGUGCCGCAGCUAACGCAUUAAGUUCCCCGCCUGGGGAGUACGGCCGCAAGGCUAAAACUCAAAGGAAUUGACGGGGGCCCGCACAAGCGGCGGAGCAUGUGGCUUAAUUCGACGCAACGCGAAGAACCUUACCAAGGCUUGUCAUACAUCGGAAACAUCCAGAGAUGGGUGCCCCCUUGUGGUCGGUGUACAGGUGGUGCAUGGCUGUCGUCAGCUCGUGUCGUGAGAUGUUGGGUUAAGUCCCGCAACGAGCGCAACCGUUGUCCUGUGUUGCCAGCAUGCCCUUCGGGGUGAUGGGGACUCACAGGAGACUGCCGGGGUCAACUCGGAGGAAGGUGGGGACGACGUCAAGUCAUCAUGCCCCUUAUGUCUUGGGCUGCACACGUGCUACAAUGGCCGGUACAAUGAGCUGCGAUACCGCGAGGUGGACCGAAUCUCAAAAAGCCGGUCUCAGUUCGGAUUGGGGUCUGCAACUCGACCCCAUGAAGUCGGAGUCGCUAGUAAUCGCAGAUCAGCAUUGCUGCGGUGAAUACGUUCCCGGGCCUUGUACACACCGCCCGUCACGUCACGAAAGUCGGUAACACCCGAAGCCGGUGGCCCAACCCUUGGGACGGAGCCGUCGAAGGUGGGACUGGCGAUUGGGACGAAGUCGUAACAAGGUAGCCGUAC